GGAGAGGUGCCAGAGCGGCCGAAUGGGCCGGUUUCGAAAACCGGUGGCCCCGUUUUGGGGCCCGUGGGUUCGAAUCCCACCCUCUCCG
rnacentral:tRNA from 1 species